UACGAAGGGGGCUAGCGUUGCUCGGAAUCACUGGGCGUAAAGGGCGCGUAGGCGGCCAUUCAAGUCGGAGGUAAAAGCCCAGGGCUCAACCCUGGAAUUGCCUUCGAUACUGUUUGGCUAGAGACCGGAAGAGGUAAGUGGAACUGCGAGUGUAGAGGUGAAAUUCGUAGAUAUUCGCAAGAACACCAGUGGCGAAGGCGGCUUACUGGUCCGGUUCUGACGCUGAGGCGCGAAAGCGUGGGGAGCAAACAGG
rnacentral:rRNA from 1 species